rnacentral:rRNA from 1 species
AUUGAACGCUGGCGGCAGGCCUAACACAUGCAAGUCGAGCGGUAGCACAGAAGAGCUUGCUCUUUGGGUGACGAGCGGCGGACGGGUGAGUAAUGUCAGGGAAACUGCCUGAUGGAGGGGGAUAACUACUGGAAACGGUAGCUAAUACCGCAUAACCUCGCAAGAGCAAAGAGGGGGACCUUCGGGCCUCUCGCCAUCAGAUGUGCCCAGAUGGGAUUAGCUAGUAAGUGAGGUAAUGGCUCACCUAGGCGACGAUCCCUAGCUGGUCUGAGAGGAUGACCAGCCACACUGGAACUGGGACACGGUCCAGACUCCUACGGGAGGCAGCAGUGGGGAAUAUUGCACAAUGGGCGCAAGCCUGAUGCAGCCAUGCCGCGUGUGUGAAGAAGGCCUUCGGGUUGUAAAGCACUUUCAGCGGGGAGGAAGGCGGUAAGGUUAAUAACCUUAUCGAUUGACGUUACCCGCAGAAGAAGCACCGGCUAACUCCGUGCCAGCAGCCGCCGCCG